rnacentral:rRNA from 1 species
CCUACGGGCGGCAGCAGUGGGGAAUAUUGCACAAUGGGGGAAACCCUGAUGCAGCAACGCCGCGUGAGUGAAGAAGUAUUUCGGUAUGUAAAGCUCUAUCAGCAGGGAAGAGAAUGACGGUACCUGACUAAGAAGCCCCGGCUAACUACGUGCCAGCAGCCGCGGUAAUACGUAGGGGGCGAGCGUUAUCCGGAUUUACUGGGUGUAAAGGGAGCGUAGACGGUUCUGCAAGUCUGAAGUGAAAGCCCGGGGCUUAACCGCGGAACGGCUUUGGAAACUGUGGAACUGGAGUGCUGGAGAGGCAAGCGGAAUUCCUAGUGUAGCGGUGAAAUGCGUAGAUAUUAGGAGGAACACCAGUGGCGAAGGCGGCUUGCUGGACAGUAACUGACGUUGAGGCUCGAAAGCGUGGGGAGCAAACAGGAUUAGAUACCCGGGUAGUC